AGAGUUUGAUCCUGGCUCAGGAUGAACGCUGGUGGCGUGCCUAAUACAUGCAAGUCGAGCGAACGGACGAGAAGCUUGCUUCUCUGAUGUUAGCGGCGGACGGGUGAGUAACACGUGGAUAACCUACCUAUAAGACUGGGAUAACUUCGGGAAACCGGAGCUAAUACCGGAUAAUAUUUUGAACCGCAUGGUUCAAAAGUGAAAGACGGUCUUGCUGUCACUUAUAGAUGGAUCCGCGCUGCAUUAGCUAGUUGGUAAGGUAACGGCUUACCAAGGCAACGAUGCAUAGCCGACCUGAGAGGGUGAUCGGCCACACUGGAACUGAGACACGGUCCAGACUCCUACGGGAGGCAGCAGUAGGGAAUCUUCCGCAAUGGGCGAAAGCCUGACGGAGCAACGCCGCGUGAGUGAUGAAGGUCUUCGGAUCGUAAAACUCUGUUAUUAGGGAAGAACAUAUGUGUAAGUAACUGUGCACAUCUUGACGGUACCUAAUCAGAAAGCCACGGCUAACUACGUGCCAGCAGCCGCGGUAAUACGUAGGUGGCAAGCGUUAUCCGGAAUUAUUGGGCGUAAAGCGCGCGUAGGCGGUUUUUUAAGUCUGAUGUGAAAGCCCACGGCUCAACCGUGGAGGGUCAUUGGAAACUGGAAAACUUGAGUGCAGAAGAGGAAAGUGGAAUUCCAUGUGUAGCGGUGAAAUGCGCAGAGAUAUGGAGGAACACCAGUGGCGAAGGCGACUUUCUGGUCUGUAACUGACGCUGAUGUGCGAAAGCGUGGGGAUCAAACAGGAUUAGAUACCCUGGUAGUCCACGCCGUAAACGAUGAGUGCUAAGUGUUAGGGGGUUUCCGCCCCUUAGUGCUGCAGCUAACGCAUUAAGCACUCCGCCUGGGGAGUACGACCGCAAGGUUGAAACUCAAAGGAAUUGACGGGGACCCGCACAAGCGGUGGAGCAUGUGGUUUAAUUCGAAGCAACGCGAAGAACCUUACCAAAUCUUGACAUCCUUUGACAACUCUAGAGAUAGAGCCUUCCCCUUCGGGGGACAAAGUGACAGG
rnacentral:rRNA from 1 species